AUCCAGCUGACGAAUCUCCAAUAAGACGAUACACAUGUCCUGAAU
rnacentral:hammerhead_ribozyme from 1 species